AAAAAGAAAUCCUAUGGCAAAAGGGUUGAUGUGUACAGUUUUGGGCUCAUCUUAUGGGAACUAGUGGCUGGAAAAAUUCCUUAUGAGGAUAUGAAUCCGAUACAAGCUGCUUUCGCUGUGGUGAACAAGGUACUUUAUUUUUUCCUGUCCUUGUCUAUUCAAUGUUGUUUGCAUUUCAUCUUAUCUUGUAAUUCUGUUUUGUCAUCCACCCAAAAGCAAUCAAGGGUCUAGAUAUUCUGUUGGUGUAACAUCCCCAACUAGAUUCAAAUCAAGGCUUUGUUGAGUAUGUGCUAAGAAUUAAAGUAUUUGCUUAACUUGUAUUUGCCUUUUAUGAAAAAUAAUCCUUGCAUAGUCUUAAAGAGAAAGGACUCUUCACUGCUUUUAUGAACUUCAUUACAUUUUAUCAUCAUAUUAAUGGUCAGUGCCCUGGGGUCUAGAGAAAAGUGUUCCCCCCGCCAUCCAUGGUGGGUUGGUGGGCGUGCGGAUGGAAGUAGUUGCCUUCCUCCUUGGAAGUGGUAGAAAUUCCUGCAAAUUAGUAAUAAUGCCCAAUCGGUUGUUUUCCAGAGUAAACUUGCAUUCACCUACAAAAAGCAUAUGAAUGGAAAAAAUAAUCACAGCUUGCUGCCUCUUAGACCUUUCCUCUAGUGAAAAUUGCACUGAUGUUUGAUUUUUUUGUCCUAUUUUCUUGGCUAAAGAUAGUUUAUCAGUGUUCAUUGGCAUAGGUAUGUGGGCUUUUGAGUUACUUGAAUUCCAAAUCCAUAUAUGCAAUUCAUUUGAUUUGUGUUGAAAUAGACUUGUUUAAGACAAGGAUCUUGUUUCAUUCUUUGUUGCUAAUGUAGCCAGUGAAAUUUAAUAUGAUGACAAGCAUCCGGUUUUCAUUGCAAUAGUGGUAAGAUAUUUUGUUGGAAAUCCCAAUGUCUUGCUGGCAGAGUAAUUCUGGGAAGGGUUUGAAUCAGACUGGUAUUGAAGCAUGAGAUGAUCAUUAUUAACAUCUUUUUAUCUGUUUUAUGUGCUUGCUUUGCUUUUUUCUUAUUGUUUAAUUGAAAAAACUUAGUUUUAACAUUAGAAAUUUUGUUACAUCUUUGCAGAAUUUGAGACCUGCUAUCCCUCAGGACUGUCCUCCUGCCAUGAGAGCUUUAAUUGAGCAAUGCUGGUCUCUGCAUCCCGAGAAGAGGCCUGAGUUUUGGCAAAUUGUUAAGGUAUUAGAGCAAUUCGAGUCUUCGCUUGCCUGUGAUGGGACACUGAAUUUGGUACAAAACCCAACUUGUCAAGAUCACAAGAAAGGUCUUCUUCAUUGGAUUCAAAAGCUUGGUCCUGUGCAUCCAAGUAACUCCCCCAUGCCUAAACCUAAAUUCUCAUGAAUCUCUCUUAUGACCCGGCUUUUGUAAUGCUCUAGGUCUUGUAAUUAGCAAGGUUUGUAUUCGAAGCCUCUUUAUUUGUACUCCUCUUCUAUGUCACAUUCAUGUGAGAGUGAAUUGAUAGAUUGGUAGGAUCCAUUGAGGUGAAAAGUCUUUGCUUCACAAAUAUACAUACAACAAAUGAUCACAAUUUAGGGUGUUUUGAACACUGUAAACUUUGGGAGAAGAAAAUUAGUGUUUUUUCAGAAGGCCACAAAGUUGAAUAUCAUCUCCUCUUCUAUGUCACAUUCAUGGAUUACCAAAUUGCUUGCAAUUGCAAGGCAUUGUCUGAGCCAAUUGAUGUCUCUUUUCUUUUUCCUUAGAUGGGUUGGCAAACAAGAUCCUUCCUCUGCCCCAUUUGAGUUUCUGAGGCAAAAAGAGGUCUAGAUUGUAUUUUGUGAUUUUGUGAUUUUUGAUUUCAAGUUCAUGGGUUUGUUGGAUGUGUGGAAUUAUAGGUACAAGAAUCUACAAAGAAGAAAAAGUAGGGCAGGGGGAUGCCUCUAUUAAUUCUCACAUUGUGUCUGUGACCCCCAUAUGGCAUCAUCAUUGAGGCUUGCAUGUGGGUCAUCCAAUCUUUUUCCAACUGUUAUAGCUUUUGAAGAAAUUCACUAUUUAGUCUUGUGGUGAAAUCUGCUUUUAAAAUUAAUUGAGAGAUUUUUUAAAAUUAUAUUUUUUAAAAUUAAAAGAUUAAUUAAUAAUUAUUUAUACUGUAAUUUUUCCUAGCUUUAUCAUGAAGCAUGAGAUAGAGAAGGAAAGUGAUGGGCUUUUAUUUUUGUUUUGACACAGACAUGUAACCAUAUUUCUAUGGCAAAAAUAUCCCAAUAUUUAUUGCUUCUAUGAUAGUAUUUUGUCAAAGGAAAAAGAUGACAUUUAUGAUUCUCACCGAACACUGGUGAAGGCUCUUUCAAGAAAGCUGUGAACUUUUUCAGCUGUUUGCAAAGUCCUAUUUUAAAUAAUUUCAAUUAAGUUAAUCUGUAAUUAGCACUUAAUCAUUGUAAUUUGUUUUAAAUAAUUUGAAAAGUCAAUCAAUAGUAUCCAUGGACUUGGUGGGCAGAUGCAAUAAAACCACAAUUGGAUGAUGAUGAUGGAAUGUGUGGUCCAGAUCAAGUGAUGUAAUUGGAUAAGUAUAGCCCACCACACUAGACUUGUUUGGGCUCUGCGUGAGUGCGUAUACUGUUGUGGACUGUUUUAUUUUAAAAUUAAAUAUCCUCUACCCAUGGAAAUUAUUAAUUUUUGUUAUAUAUUAUUAAUUUAUGAAAAAAAUUUACUUAAAUUUAAUUCAUUAUAAAUUUAAAAUAUAAAUACGUGAAUUUUAUGUAAUUUUAAUGUGAACAAAUUUGUACAUUUAUCCCAUCAAUUAAAAUAAUUUACACAAAUUAAACUAUAAAUUCUGAAUUAAAAAUAAAUAAAAUAAUAAAGUAUUUUUUUAAUAUUUUUUCCUUUAUUAUAUAUUAAUAAUUAACAUGGAUAGAAGGCUAGAAUUCUCCUUUUUCUUUUCUUUUUCUUAAAAAUUUUAAAAAAUAUAUCUUUUAGAGGGCCAUUGUGCAGCUCGUUGCUUUAUUAAUGCUUGAUGUAAAUCAUUUUGUAGGAUUGUAGAUUUGUUUAAAAUCGAAUUUAUUUAAAAUUUUAAUAUUUAUAAAAAUCAAAUUGAUUUUAGUCUAAAAUCGAUUUGAAUCGAAUCAAUUUAAUUCAGUUUACUCAGUUGAAAUUUUAAAUGAUUUUUUUACACCUUAUUUUAAAUACUUGAAAAUUCAAUUAAAGUAUUUUAACUUUAGUUAUGGUCUGGUUUUCAUAUAUUAUUAAAAAUAACAUAAUAAAAUUUAUAAAUCGAUUUGGUUUUAUUGAUUUUUUCUCACCAAAAUUAAAUUGAAUCAAAAUAAUUAAAAUUUUUAAAAAUAAAAACUAAAUUAAAUAAAAAAUAAUAGAAAAAUCAAAUUAAAUUUCUAAAUUAAUUCAAUUAAAUUAAUUUUUUCAAUGAGUUAUAAGAGUCAGCAAGUUCCUUUGAAUUUUUUUUUAAUUGUCCAAAAAGAUAAUGAAUAGGUAUUAUCACAACUAUUUAUUCUAUUUCGCUGGAGUUCCAAUUUUUAUGCUUUUGUAGAACGUGUAAGUUAUUUUACUGUGGUUAUUGAAUUUUUACUGUAUUAAUGUACUUGGUGUUUUUUUGCUUUAGUUUAUUAGUUUUCAGGGACUUUCUUAUUAUUUUCCUUUACUUGACACAUGUUUCUAGCUCUCACGUUCUAUGUACAGACAAGAGUUUGUGAGCAUCGAGCUUCCUUUCUUCUCCAUUCUUGAACCUCAAAGGCUAUUAGAAGCGAUAGAUCUAGCAAAUUUGGUAUCUAUGGAAGAGAACUAAAUGACUGCGGCAGGAAGAAAUAAGAAUCACUCUGGAAUCCGAUGAAUGGAGAUCCUCUUUGAAUGCAAUCGUCUGAUUAUCUAGGUAUGAUUCUAGUCUUAGCACCUUUAAUAAAAAAUAGAAACUUCAGAUCUUAGAAUAGAGUUAUAAAAAUAGCUCUGCGAGCCAAGCAGAAGUUAUGGUUCAUUGAAGGGAUUAUUUCGAUGCUUGAAAAGGAUUUUGAAAUCUAUGAACAAUGGAAAAUAUGUGACUAUUUGAUCAUAUUAUGGAUAUUGAAUUCCAUAUCCAAAGAUCUUGUAGAUAGCUUCAUCUACACGACAUCCUCUAAACAUCUAUCUUCUGAGAUCUCAAUGAGGUUUAGAGAGAGCAAUGACUCAUAGAUCUAUAAAAUACAUAAGCAGAUCUCUUUAAUCUCUAAAAAAAAAUGCUUCUAUCUCAGUCUACUUCACCAAGUUGAAAGACUCUAGGAUGAGUUAGGAUCCAUGAAAGUAUUGUUCUUGUGGAGCAGCAAAGGCUAUAGAAGAAGUGAACAACAGGAAUGAACUCAUGCAGGUCUUAAUAGGACUGAAUGAAAAUUUUGACUCAGUGAGAGAUCAAGUGUGAUCCUUUGCCUUUUAUAAAUAAGGCAUAUCCAAUGGUGCUCAAACAUGAGUCUCAAAAAGAGGUUUUGGGCAAGAAAAAUGAGUAUGUUGAGUCUCAAGCACUGUUUAACAAUCCUAAGGACAGUCUCAAAAGGGGAAACAAAAAGAGAUAUGAUCCUAAGAAGGGUCAUUUAUAGUUACUGUAAUAUAGAUGGACAUGUUAGGGAUUACUUGCUUUAAAUUGAUUGGCUAUCCAGAUUGGUUUAAGACCAAAACUAAAUUGGAAAGCAGCCUAAGGUGGCCUUACUAUAGUCAUAACAAUCGUAAGCAAAUAUCUUGCCGCAGUUAAGGAAAUUUUCCUAUAGGAAUCCCAAAUAUCCAUAUGGAUUAAUUCAAAAAGUUUUAAAUUAGUUGUGCGACUAAAAAGGAAAGACAAUCUAGUUUGUUUGCUAGAGGACAUGUGAUAAAGGACUAUUUAGACUCCGUGAGAAGUUUCAACCAAUAUCGUUUGGCUAAGACGAAAUAACAGAAAAGAUAGGAUGAAAGACUAAAAGUCUUAUUGAAAUUUCUCAAGGAUUGAAAAGGUCCUUUCUAAUAGCCAAGGGAGGCUAUUUAUAAUAGAAACAAAACCCUAAUGUGCAAAAUUAUGAAAAUAUCUAAAAUAUCCAAAAAUAAUAAUUAAAAUACAAAAGUUAGCCCCGGUCCAAGUCUGCCGUAAAAUCUAAGGUUAGUUGCUCCAUGUCAUUCCCUUCCACUUGUAAAGAACUCGACCUCGAGUUGUCAUCAGCAGGGUAGUACUGAAAUAGAUCUGCCACAUUAAACGUCUUGAAAAUUUUUAUCUCAUGUGGGAGGUCAAGAACAUAGGCAUUGUCAUUGAUCUUCUGAAUGAUUCGAAAUGGACCAAUCUUCUUGGCGUCAAGUUUUUUUUUCUGUCCUCCACCACGCUCCUUGCGUAAAUACACCAUAACUUGGUCACCGACAUUGAAAGACUUGAAACGCCUAUGUUUAUCAGCUGUAACUUUAUAUUUGUCAUUGGCUUCUGUAAGGCAUUGUUGUACCUGUUUGAAAACAUCCACAUGCUGCUUUGCCAAGUUACUUGCUACAAUACUGUUGUGAGAACCUGUGGGAAGGGCAACAAGAUUAAUUGUAUGCGCUGGGACUUUCCUGUACGCAACAACAAAUGGUGACAUCUUUGCGGAGCUAUGGACAACACUGUUGUUAGCAAAUUCCACCAGGUCUUGGAGGAUUUCACUCUCCUUUGGACUCAUCUUGUAAUGAGGCAGAUUCAAUAGUUUUGAUCUAGGAAUGAGAUCAAUCUGAUAUUGAAUAUCCCACAGAGGUGGAAGCUUGGAUGAUUCCUCCACUGUCUUAGGAAACUCCUUCAACAGCUCUUUGAUGGGUGGGGUUAAAGAUGGUGCAUCCUCCAUUGUACUUUUUGCUCUCACCAAUAAGGCCAAUGUGCCUUCAGAUUUCUCAACUAUGCCUGAUAGCCUCUGUACUCCCGUGGAAACAGCAACAACAUUCUUCCCUUCCACUUUAGAAUGUUUAACAGAACCGAAAGGCAAGAUAGUAAUCUUCUUUUGAUUCCAUGUGAACAUGUAUGAAUUCUUUUUUUCUUUGUACAACGCAUCAACAUCGAACUGCCAAGGGCGACCUAGCAAAAUUCCACAGCAAUCCAUAUCCACAACAUCACAAUUAACAAGUUCAGCAUAAGAUUUACCGAUCGAGAUAGGCACGUUGCAGAUUUUGUUGACCUCAAUUGUCGGACCUUCCUUAAUCCAUCCGACUUUGUAUGGUGAGGGGUGAGGCUAUGUAGGCAACUGUAAUUUUUCCACCAACUGCUUAGCUAUCAGAUUCUCACAACUGCAGCUAUCUAUAAUUAGCCUGCAAAUUGCCUCUCCUACUCGACACUUUGCCUGGAAAAUCUUCCUCAUUUGUGUCUCGUCCUCCUGUUUUGUUGAGCAUAAGAUCUUUUUUACCACAUAGGUGACCUCUCCAUCUUUAGAACCAGCAAUAGAUCCAUCAUCGUCAUCCUCUUCCUCGUCAGUUUCAGCCACCUGCUCAACUAUAUUAACAUGCCGGCUGUCAGUAUUAACUCCUCUACGUUCUGGACAAUUAUUCGAUCGAUGAUCAGAUUGCCUGCACCGGUAACAUAUGUCUCCCGUUGGCUUCUGAUAAGGAUUGGUCCUGCCUCCUUUGUCUGUUGUAGUAGUGACUGCCUUGCCCUUACUGUCUCUCCUUUCUUCCAUGGUAUUCGAAGGGUUGCUAGAGUUUACAACCUUAGAAGGCUGCCCGCUGUAGUUGCCUCUAUAUUGCUUCGUCCCUGUUGAACCAGAAUUUUUGUAAUUGAAAUUCUGGUUGUACUGCUGCUGUCGUGGCUGCCAAUCAACACGCUCUUCUGCCCUUUUUGCCAUCUCAAUAGUGUCUGCCAAGGUGAAAAUCGCUUCUACUCCCAUCAUACAACGAAUUUCGUGAUUCAGCCCCCUCUGAUAAUGAACAACCUGUUGGGCCUCGUUCUCACAGUUUUCACAUCUCGCCUGCAGCCUUAAAAACUCCUCAGUAUACUCAUCCACCCUUCGGUUCCUUUGUACACAAUCAUAAUACCGGUUAUAUAAGACCUGAGCGUGAUCGCUAGGCAAGAACCAUUGUUCAAACAUCUGCUUCAUCAGCAAUCAAUUUCGUAUGGGCUCCAGCCUCUUUCGAUAGCGUUCGUUUUGAAUCGAAUUCCAUCAGGCUGCUGCAUCCCCUUUCAACUUAUAGGCCACAAUUGGAACCUUGCGCUCCUCUUCCACAUUCAUAAUUUCAAAGAAGCAUUCAACCUCUGCUAGCCAAUCAAGAACAGAUUCAACAUCUAACGAACCAGAAAAGUUUUGAAGGUCUACCUUGAUCCUGUAACAUUCCUGAUAGUUCUGUUGGGGAUUUGCAGGCAUAGGAUUGACGACCACAGGAUUGGCGGCCACAUAGGGAUGUGCGGCGGUGGCGGGUUGGUGGAUUCCCUACUGCAGGGUCAGCUGUCCGAUCAUCUCUCUCAAUUCUGCCAAGGAUGCCUCAAUCGCAGCAAGUCGCGCCUCUUGGUUAUCUGCCAUGGCCGAAUUUUGCUCUGAUACCAAUCUAAUAAAGGACUAUUUAGACUCCGUCAGGAGUUUCAACCAAUAUCGUUUGGCUAAGACGAAAUAAGAGAAAAGAUAGAAUGAAAGACUAAAAGUCUUAUUGAAAUUCCUCAAGGAUUGAAAAAGUUCUUUUCUAAUAGCCAAGGGAGGCUAUUUAUAAUAGAAACAAAACCCUAAUGUGCAAAAUUAUGAAAAUACCCAAAAUAUCCAAAAAUAAUAAUUAAAAUAUAAAAGUUAGCCUCGGUCCAAAUCUACCGUAAAAUCCAAGGCUAGUUGCUCCAUGUCAACAUGCUUCACAUUGAAGUUGCUCUUUGCCAUUGUAUUGGAUUCCAUUUAUGUGCUUUAAUUUGCCCAUUGAAAUGUGACCCAUCUUUUUAUGAAUACCCAUAACACUUAACAUGCAUUAGGACUCAGGCAUAAAGCUUUUUCUAUUCAUAUUAAAUUUAAAAGAUAUAGAAUUUACAAAGGAUUGCAAGAAAGGGACAAUAUGCAUCAAAUCAGACAAACAAUUAUGAAUCUCAUAGAUAGUAAAAUUUUUCUAGUUGAGUUUGUAUAGACUACCAUCUUCUCUGCCUACAAUAACCAUUUUUUUUAUUCAGAGGGGCCUGUAUAAUGCUAUAAUCAAUAUGAAAGAAUAAUUAAAGAUUAUUAUGCUAAAUGAGUUUACUAACAUAUAAUAAAUUAUAUUGAAAACUGGAAAUGUAUAGAACAUCAUUUAAGAUAAUUGAAAUAGAUAGAGUUAUUAAGCAAUAAUUUAUGACCUCAAAUGUUCAUAUGCAUUUUAACACAACAAGUAUGUAUUUGAUUGAAAUUACCAGUAAAAGAAGAUAAAUCAUGUAUCAGAAGCAUGACAUCCUUCUGAAUAGGACCCUGACUGCCUAGUGGUUGCAGUCAAAGCUGCUUUGUCAUUCGCCAGUUUGGAAAAUUCCUGUUGCAGGGUGUUUAAAGCAACACUCAGCUCAUCAAGCUUAGAGCUACUUUUAGGCUGCUUAAGAGGGCUAUCCUCUUCACAAUCAAGCCUUUCAGCAUCAACCACUAUCCUGUGGCUAUGAUUCUUAGUGAAAACUAAUAAAACCAGAAGAUAAUUUUAUUAUAUAUAUAUAUAUAUAUAUAUAUAUAUAUAUAUAUAAAAAGCUGAAAUCUAAAAUAAGUUAUAAAGAAAUUGACGAGUGGCAUACUUAAAUUUAUGCACUUAUAUCAAGUGACACAUCUAAAUUUAUGUAUUUAUAUUAAGUGAUAUAUUUAAUAUAUUUUAUUUUUAUUUUUAAGUUAUAUUUUUAUAUUUAAUAAUAUUACUAAUUAAUAUGUCAUAAUAAAUACAAUCUAUUAUUUUUAAUGUUACAAUUUAUAUAUGACUUUUAAAUUUUCUAUCAUCAGUAUUAGUAGGUGAUUUUUUAAUUCCCUAUAACUUUUUAAAUAUAAUAUAUUAAUUUAAAAUUAAAAAAUCUAAAACUAAAAAUAAUUAUAUUUUUGAAAUAAUUAAUAAAAAUUAAUAUAUAUCCAUCUUUCUAAUUAUAAAAUGUAAAAAAUGAUAUAUUUAAACUUUUAUAUAUAUAUAUAUAUCUAUAUAUAUAUGUUGAUGAGAAAUUGAUAAGGUCACCGUUAAAUCUAAGAUCGACAAGUGAUACAAUUAAUAUUGCAUAUUUAUGAUAUUUGGCACAAAAAUAUUUAUAAUUUUUUUAUAUAUUUAUAAUUUUAUUUUUAUAUAAAAUAAUAGUUAAUGUAUAUGUAAUAAAUAUAAUUUAUUAUUAUUUUAAUCAUUAUUAAUGUAUAAUUUUUUAAUUUCUUAUUAUUCUCUAAUAUAAUAAAUAUAAUAGUUAAUGUAUACCUUAUAAAUAUAAUUUAUUAUUUUUUAAUCACUGUUAAUGUAUAAUCUUUUUAAUUGUAUUCACAUACUUAGUCUGAUAGUAAAUAUAUCUGAAUAAAUUUGAAAAAUCUUCAUUCUCAAUCUCCAAUUUUCAUUUUUUAAAAAAAUAUAAUCUUUUGAUUUUUUACUACUUUUUAAUAUAAUAAAUAUAAAUUUUUAUUAUAUUUAUUGUUACUAUUAUAUGCUUUUUUGAUGUUCUAUUGCUUUUUAAUAUAUUAUACUAUUAGUAUUGCAAUAAAAAUUUUAUUUUAUUUUUUAUUUUAAUAAUAAAUAAAAUGUUAAAAAUAUAUUAAUAAAUAUUGAGUAAAUACCAUUAAAAAAUGUUUGGACAGUAAAAAAAAUUAUUUUUAUUAUAUAGCACUAAUUCUAUAAUAAAAGACCAUAUAAAAAGUUUUUACUAUCUCACAGUAUUAUUGUUUAUUUAUUUGAUAAUUUUAUUAAGUUAUAACUAAUAUAAUUUAAUUAUAUAAUGUGAAUAAUUAUAUAAAUUAAAUAUAUAUAAUCAAUUAAAAUUAUUAUAAAAAUAUUAAUUGUGAUAAAAUGUAAAAUAAUUAAAGAAUUAAUAGAAGUAUUUGUAUAAAAUAUUAUCAAAUUAAAUUUUAUUCAAUUCAAAUGACUAUAAAAAGUUAAUAAAUAUAAAUAAUAAAAAGUAAAAUUGUUAUUGUAAUGCUAUAAAUCAAGUGUAUAAAUAUUAAAUAAUUAAAUUAUUAAAUUUAAAUUACUAUAAUUUAUUAUAUUAAUAAUUAUAAUAAUUUUAUUCUUUCCAUUUUUUUACAAAAAUAUAACUUUUAUUAUUCAUUUUAUAUAAAAUUCAUUAACACUAUAUUUUAUAUAUUUCUUUACACAUCUCUCUUUCUCCUCUAUUUUUAAAUAGUUCAUAUUUUAAAAAUUUUCUUUUUAUUAUUUUCUUAGCAUCUGAUAUGAGAUGCAUAAAUACACAACUCUCAAUUCAACGUCUAGAUUGAAGUUGGAUGAUGAGUCAUCCUGAUAUUUUGGAGAAAUCAUCUUAUUUUUUUCAAUACUGAAAUAUAUUUAUAUCGAAGUGGUUGUAAAAUCAUUCGUCCUAUUACAAAAUAGUAUUUGCCUAACAUGAUUGAUCUAUUAAAUUUUACCAUUCAAUAAAUUGAUAUACUUGAAUGGUAUUGUGAUAAUGCAGAUAACCACCACCGCUAUUGCCAUCCACCACGUUGGAGUUUAAUAAACUUCAUUUUCCUAAGAAUAUAUAGUUGCUUGAAUAUAAUUUAUUUUUUAUAUUAAUAAUAUACAAUAACAAGUACUAAAAUCUUUAAUUUUAUUUAUUACAAUUGAGUUUGAUGGUUUAUAAAUUUCUAUUUGAUUACUAUUUUGAAUUUAAAAUUUUAAAGGAAAUGUUCUGCUUUUCUUAGUAGGUGGAGUAAAUUUAUACGUAAAGAUAUAUUAUUUUAUAAAAUAAUAUCAUAUGAUAGUAAUUAAAAAAUUUUAAUAUUUACAAAUGACUAGUUAUUUAUGUAACAAUCCGGCUCAAACUGAGCUAAAUAACUUUAAAUCUACUUUCUACUUAGUGAAAAAUGGUUAACCCAAAUUGUUUAAUAGUUUUUACUAGUUAUUUAUAAAUCCAUCAAUUUUCAAUCAGUGUAGUACACUACAAUGUCCUCUCUCAAUUUUGCGACGUCCCCGUCGCAAGUUGAUUCGCUAGUGUUCCGGAUGACUCCAUUUCAUCUCACACGUAUAGCUCUUUUUUUACAAACCCAUUAAUUUCGUAUAAUUUUUUGACUUAUAACAACUCUGAUAUCAAUUAAAUGUCACAAUUUAUUAAGGUAUGACUAGUUUAAAUUAUACUCAAAAUAUUGAAAGUUAAUUCAAAUUAAAAUAUAAAAAUAGAAUUAUUUAAACUUUGAUGAAAAGUUUGGGAACAUAUCUGAUUCAUUGGUCAAGAAAUUUUGUUAUCUAGUAAAUCAAUCCACCAUAGGACUCAAUAAUGGUGAAUGAGAGACAAGAAAAUCAAAGCAAUGAGUAGGGAGAUUGGAUUUGGAAGGUAGAACAUCAAACAUAAUUUCUUUUUAUGACAAUGAUUCUCAACCAAUAGGAUUGGUUUUGGUAAAAAAAAUGAAUUUUUUCUUUCUCACAAUCCAAAUUAUACCCGACAAGCUUUUUUCUCAUUUAUGAAUUAUUGAGUUAUGUCUAUAUUUUUUCACAGCCAAAUGCUCAAUUUUUAUCUGUUUUUUUAGAUAGAUUGAAAUUGAAUCGCAACGGUAACCUAAUCAGAAAUUUUUUAAAAUAAAGUCGUUUAAAAUCGAACGAAAUAUCUAUAAAUAAACCAGCGGAUUGAGUCCGUGGCAGGGCAUACAUGUAUAAACAUAUAUAUAUACAUCACACACAAGUAUUGAAAAGAUAAUCUAACAAACUUGGCAGUAGAAAUUAUUAUAGGAGAUCCUAAAGAUUUGGUGUUGUCUCCUUUGAAAGAAGAAAGUACAGUGAGGUUCUAUAACAAUUUCGAAAGGAAGAAAAUGUGUCUGAUCCUCUUAAGCCAGUCCAAAGUUGUAUGUCCCCAUUGGGCUAUAUUUAGGAUAUAUUGAGAGUGACUAGUCACUUGUAACCACGUCUCUCUCUAAGGACGCAUAGUAUACCCUUAACUCAAAGCCACUUUAGAUGCGGGCCUGCCUCCUCGUUCACUGUUUCUUACACAGUGCUUUAGACGUUUCUGCAUCAUCUAGUGUUCAAAGUGAUGCGUACAUAUACAACUUUUCAUCUUUUACUUAUGGUUAUUAGGCUAUUUGCUAGCCUCUCAGGUGAUUUUAAGGAUGUAGUCUUUUACAUUUUUGGUAUAUUUAGAAUAAAGGAUUUUAGAGUUUUUCACUGAAAUCUAACUCGGUUGAGGAGAGGACAUGGUCAUAGGAACACUUGUUUUUCAGCCAUUGACAUACAUGAAAGCAGGUGAAAGUAUUUGUUUUAAGUAUAUCUAUCCAUGCACAAUCAACGAGAGUUGCUUAAUGUCAAUAGAAUUUACUCAAGUUCUUGGUUUAAGAAUCCCAAUGCUCCAUAUUUGUUAACAAUAAAAAGAAUUUUGUUUUUCUUUUAUUCUUUUUAAGAUGACAAUCCUAUCGGAUUGAGAAUUUUGUUAUUUUCGUUUUAAAUUUUGGAUGUUAUAUUGAUUUGGAAUAGGAUUAAUGAAUAAGAAUUUUAAGUCUUUUUUUUAAUUAAUUUUUUAAAAAAUUAGACCUGACUCAAAUUUAACAUGAUAGGAGAAUUUUUCAUUCGAUAUUAAUCGACUGUAAUAUAUCACACUCCAAUAUAAAACUAAUUUUUAGAGUCCGUUAACGCUGCAAAUUUAACACCUUUUUCUUAAGGAUUUGAAAUCUCUAAUGCUGUGGUCCAGUUCUUCCCAUGGACGUCAUGGCACUGUUCUUCUUUUGUUGUUUCUGCUAUUGGAUUGAAUUUCUUCUUAUGCUUUGGUUCUGUUGUUGUCUUUAAUUAUUCUUUAGCAUUUGAUUGUGAACCAUUAAUUUUGUUUCUUACAUCUGUUUGUUUUUAUUUCGAUGUUGGCUUGAUUUUUUUAAAAUUUUUCACUUUGCUCUGGUACUUCGGGUUUUGCCCAAUUUCAUAUCUAGGGUUCAAACAGUUAGGGCUUGAGAUGGGAUCGGAGCGGCUGUAGCAAAAUUGAGUUGUCAGUGUGGGCGUUGUAACCUAAUUUCAUGUAAUGAAAUAUAUUUCUUUAAAAAAAUAAAGCAGUAAAAUGACUUAAUUUUGUGGGAAUAUUCUGAAGCAUAGAUCAAUAUUUUAUUUAUGAAAAAGAAUGGAAAAAGAAGAAAGUUGAAGUAAAUAAACCACUCUUAAAAAGAUUUUUUUUUUCUUUAAAUUAUUAUUCAUAUAAAAAAAUUAAUUAAUUAAUCUCUUAAUUUUUUAAAAUAUAUUAACGAUUAUGUGAUUUCAUAAACUUUAUUAAAAAGUCCAUAUAGUUAAUUUGAAAUAUUUUUAUCGCUACUCUUAUUAUUAAAAGGUAAGAUACUUUCCUUUCCGAAUUAAUUUUAAUAUUAAAAAGUGAAUAUAUUUUAAAUAUUUUUUAACUCUUAAAAUUAAUGAAUAAUUUUUUAAUAAAUUUUUUAAAAUCAUAAUAGCAUUUUAAUAUAUUUUUAAAAAUUAAAUAACUAAUUAUUUUCUUUUUUUAUACCACGACUAUUAUAGUAGAUGUACCAUAUAAAAUUAUCUAUAUGAUACAAUUAGUUAAUAAAAAUAAAAUAAAUAAAUAAAUAAAAUUUAUAUUUUUUUAAAAAAAUAUAACUAUUUUUAUAUAAAUAUUUGAGUCUUAUUUAUUUAUUAUACUAUGUAAGUAUCUUACCUAGUACAAUUAUUUUACUCUAUGAGGAUGGUAAAUUUUCAUAGAUUUUUUUUUUUAAUUUUAAUAGAAUCAAACUUAAAUUAGUUAGUAUUAAUAAUAAAAUUUAAUGGGUUUUUUUUUACUCUUAAUAAAAUGAAAAAUCGGUGUUAAAUGGUUGGAAUUUUUAAAAUUUAGAGAGUAAUUCAUAGUUAAUUAUAAAAUUCAUAAAUUUACUAAAAAAAUUGUUUUUGGCUGAGAUAAAGAUAAUUGGUGAUUUGUAUUUGGACAAUAAAUCACCAUAUUCGCUAUAGAUUCACAUGGGACUAAAUGCUAAAUUUUUUUAAAAUAAAAAAAUAUUAUUAAAAUAUCAAAUAAAAAUAAUUACUUUUAAAAAUUAAGCAACUAAUUAUUUUAUUUUUUUAUAUUAUAGAUAUUAAAUAGUAUUUUUUUUUUCUCUAUCUGAAAUUUAUACAUUUAUUCUUAUAAGAUGGAAUCUAAGGAUAAGAUGGGUAGUUCGACAUUCUUGUGUGAAGUUUGGUAGUUUGAUAUUCUUGUGUUAAGUGAGAUCGAGAAUUUAAUACUUAUAAAUAAAGUAAAUAUUUAUUAUGAAUAUUUUAAAAAUAUGAUUUAGUUUCAUUCUAAUAGACUGAAAAUACAAAAAUUAUUUUAAAAAAAGAUGUGUUUCAAGGGGUAAUACAACCAUUCAACUAGGUCUAAUACAACUGGAAACUAAAAAGGCCUAAGCCGACUAUUAUAAUAGAUAAAUUAUAUAGCCACAUUGUUAUACCAUGAUACAACUAGUCAAGAAAAAUAAAAUAAAUACAUAAAAUCUAUAUUUUUUAAAAAAAUUAAUUAUUUUUAUAUAAAUAUCUUACUUUUAUUUGUUUAUCAUAUAUAUUUUUUUUGAAAGUAAAGCUAUUGAUUGUAUUAAUAAAAUUCUAUCAAAUAAAGAAAGAUAUUAUCCCACACAGAGAAAUGAUUAUGCCUGAUGGAUUCUCUAACCAAAAUAUGAGCAGUUAGAAUAGCAUUACGACGAAUCCAUCUAACAGAAAUAUCAGUUUUAGAGUCUAACAAAAAUUUACAAUCAUUCAAAAUCAAACCCUUGCGUAAGAUAAUUUGACAAUAAUGUUCUUCAAGUGCCUCUUUAAAUCCCUACAUAAGAUAAUUUGGCAAAAAUACUCCUCAUUCUUUCUCAUCUCUCGAGCAUAAAUCAUUAAAGUCUCCCGAGCAAAACCACGGAAUAGAGCUCCUACGAGAUAAAGCUCGAAUAAGGUUCUAAAACUGACGUCGUCGUUGCAAUUCCGGAAACCCAUAAUAACUAAUAAACCUCCAUUGAACAUUACCUUCCGAAACAACCGAAUCAAUAAAAUUUAAAGAAAAAUCAACCACAGAAACAGACUCAUGACUCUUCCACAUUAAUGAAAAGCCUCAUCCCAAUCCUUGUCUAUUGACUGAGAAGCAACCAUCAAAAUGUAAAAAACUAUGAAAAAAUUUCAUACGAGAACUAAGAACUUUUGUUUCCAUCAAAAAUAAAAUAUCCGGCUUGUAAUUAGGAACUAAACUCUUCAAUGUAAUAAAUGUCCGAGGAUUGCCGCCAUAAAUCUGCCAAACAGGUCUGCAUAUUCUGAAAAUUGAUUGGAUUGUAUAUGAGAAACAUUCCACUAUACAGAAAUCAUAAGUGACGAUCGAAAUAUAUCUGGAGCUCUUAAUAGGGACAACAACAUCUUCUUCUUCAUCGAUAGUCAAUUGACGCAGAUCGUCUUCCACGAGAAAGGAAAAGAAGAAGUUAAGUUUAAGGAAGAGGAAAAGAUAAGAGUAUCGAGGCACAAAUGGACCACAGAAUAAAACUUGCGUCUCAUUUGUUUAUUAUAUCAUAUAAGUAUCUUAUUUAGUAUAAUCAUUUUACUCUAUGAUUUUUUGAAAAAUAAAAGAUGUUAAAUAAAGAGAUAUCAGAGCACGAGAACAUUCCUAUUUGUUUGUUGUACCAUGUAAGUAUUUUAAAUGGUAUAAUCGUUUCACUCUAUAUUUAAUGGUAGAAUUUAAUGAUUUUUUUUUUCAAUUUUAAUAGAAUAAAAGUAAGGAAAAAGCUUGAUAGCUCAACUUGAUCUACAAUAAAUGUGAAUCAACGAGGUUAUUCAAGUAAUUUCAUAAUGUAUUUUUACUUUAUUAACCUUUUUCUAUUUUUUCUAAAAUAAUAUGUAGAAUUUGAAAUUCAAAUUUUACAUUCUCUCAACCAUUUAUUAAGUGUUUCAAUUUUCAAAACAGAAUUAUAUUUUCUAUAAGCAUGUCAACUACUUUAUAUUUCUCAAUUUAUUAUAACUUCAUUGUCUAAGUUUUCUCUUUCAUUUCAUAUUCCUAUACGAUUUUGAAAAUGAAAAGCCCUCUUACAUCGGAUUGGCAUGUGAAACAGUGAGUUUAAAAAUAGAUAAAACUACAGCAUGAAAAGGUUGCAAAUUUGAAUUUUAAAUUUUUUUGACAAUAUAAAAAAUGACACCGUAACAGGCAUGACUUAAAUUAGUUAAAAAUAUUUCAAUUUAUAUUAAAUUUUAUAAAUGAUAUAUUUUGUGAUUUAAAUUAAUAUUUAAUUUGGUAUGAUGAUUAAAUAUAUAUUUAAUUUGGUAUGAUGAUCAAAUAUAAAUUUAAUUUGAACAUUACAAUUAAAUAAUUUAUUAAAUUAUCAUUUACAAUUUAUUAAUUAAUUGACACUAUAAUUAUAAUAUAAACUUAUAAUAUAAAAUUGAGAUAUAUGACUUAAAUAUAAGAUCUCAUAUACUAUAUGAGACUUAAAUUUAAAUUUUAACAUGUGACUUAAAUUUAAAAUUUCAUAGGAUAUAUCAAAAUCGACACUAUAAUUAUAAUAUAAAUUUAGUUAUGUAUAAUUGAAAUAUGUGACUUAAAUUUAAAAUUUCAUACAGUAAAGUCAAAAUCGACACUAUGAUUAUAAUAUAAAUUUAGUCGUGCGUAAUUGAGAUAUGUGACUUAAAUUUAAAAUAUCAUAUAAUAAAGUCAAAAUCGGCCCUAUAAUUAUAAUAUAAACUUAUUCAUGCGUAAUUGAGAUAUGUGACUUAAAUUUAAAAUCUCAUGCACUAAAAUCAAAAUCGAUCCUAUCAUUAUAAUAUAAAUUUAGUCAUGCGUAAUUGAGAUAUGUGACUUAAAUUUAAAAUCUCAUACAGUAAAAUUAAAAUCGACCCUGUAAUUAUAAUAUAAAUUUAGUCAUGCGUAAUUGAAAUAUGUGACUUAAAUUUAAAAUCUCAUAUAGUAAAGUCAAAAUCGACCCUAUGAUUAUAAUAUAAACUUAAUCAUGCGUAAUUGAGAUAUGUGACUUAAAUUUAAAAUCUCAUACAGUAAAAUCAAAAUCGACCCUGUGAUUUGAGAUAUGUCAUUUAAAUUUAAAAUCUCAUACAGUAAAGUCAAAAUCGACCCUAUGAUUAUAAUAUAAAUUUAGUUAUGUAUAAUUGAGAUAUGUGUUUUAAAGCAUAAUUGAGAUAUGUGACUUAAAUUUGAAAUCUCAUAUAGUAUAGUCAAAAUCGAUACUAUAAUUAUAAUAUAAACUUAGUUAUGCGUAAUUGAGAUAUGUGACUUAAAUUUGAAAUCUGAUAUAGUAUAGUCAAAAUCGACACUAUAAUUAUAAUAUAAAUUUAGUCAUGCGUAAUUGAAAUAUGUGACUUAAAUUUAAAAUCUCAUACCGUAUAGUUAAAAUCGACACUAUGAUUAUAAUAUAAAUUUAAUCAUGCUUAAUUGAGAUAUGUGACUUAAAUUUGAAAUCUCAUAUUAUAAAGUCAAAAUUGACAUGUGAUUUAAAUGUAAAAUCUUAUAUAUAUAGUAUAGUUAAAACCAUUGAAUUAAACAUUAAACCUUACUAUAAUACAUAUUAUAUUAUUGAAUUAUUAAUAAAUUUUAUAUAUUAUAAAUCAGUAUUAUUUCGACCUUAUGAUAUCAUUUUAUAAUAAAAUAAUAAAUAAUAUUAUAGUAUCAUUUCAACUGCUGUUGUUGUAGCGAGAUUGAUCAAAAAAUCUAUUGUUGAUGUUAUGACUGAGUGAUCUUUCCAUUUUGCAAGAAAUGAGUAAAACAUGCAUGGGAAGUAGGAGAGACAAGUGAGAACAUGCAAAGAAAAUAGGAGAAAAAUGUGAGAUCGUGUAAGAAAAAUAGAAGAGGAGUAUCAGAGAAUAUUAGAGAGAAGAAUGUUUGUGAAGAAUAUAAAUGGAUAGAAAGAAUAAGUAUUAAAAUGAAUAUAUUUUUUAAUUAUUAUUUAUCGAUAACAUAAUUUAUGUUGUUUGCUAAAAAAGAAGAUAUUUAGUUGGAGGAAAAUAAACGAAGGAGAGAUUGUAAUUUGAAGGGUUAAUUUGCCUCUAAAAUCAGUAAAGGUAAAUGUGAUAUUUUAAGUUGAUGGUACUCAUUUGAGCCACAAUAAAUAUCGCUCAAUUUGAACCAUCAAUUAUGAUCCUAAAAGUAAAUUAGUGUAGCAUCUAACGGUAGAAUUUAAUAAAUUUUUUCAAAUUUUAAUAGAAUGAAAAGCAAUUUAGUGAGUAUUAAUGGUAUAAUUUAAUGGAUUUUUUCAAUUUUAAUAAAAUCUAACUUAAAUUAGUGAGUAUUAAUUAAAAUUUAAUGAAUUUUUUUUCAGUUUUAAUAGAAUGAAAAGUCGAAGUAAAUAGAGAAAGUGGAGACCAUCAAAAUUAGUGAGCAUUAAUGGAAUUUUUUCAAUUUUAAUAAAAUGAAAAGUCAAGGUUAAAUAGAGAGGUUAGAGACCACCAAAAUUAGUGAGCAUUAAUGGCAGAAUUUAAUAGAUUUUUUUCAAUUUUUAUAGAAUCAAAUUUAAAUUAGUGAGUAUUUUUUUUUUUUUUUAAGAUUGGAUUAGAGAUUGGAGGAGUAGAAUCUAAGACUUUGGAUGAGAUUCACAUGGUCGCUUUGAUAUUCCCAUUGCCAUCGAUCACAUUUUUCAUACAGCGAAUUCAUGUAUUGAUGAUUUGAUUAGAUUGGUAUUAAGAAUUCUAAGUUUAGAUAGAAAUUUUGGAUAGAUCUACUAAAAAAGCUAGUAUCUUUUUUUUUCAUGAUAUUGGUUCUGCUUCUAACAUGAACCCGAGCUAAUUCUUUCUUAGUUUUUCCUUUCUAUUUUUUUUUUAAUUUUAAUAAAAUCAAACUUAAAUUAGUGUGUAUUAAGAAUUCAAGGACUUUUAUUCAAUUUUAAUAAAAUGAAAAGUAAAUUAAUGAGUAUUAAUUGUAGAUUUUCAUAGAUAUAUUUUUAAAAAAUUUAAUAGAAUCAAACUUAAAUUAGUCAGUAUUAAUAAUAAAAUUUAAUGAAUUUUUUUUCAUUUUUAAUAGAAUUAAAAGUCGGUGUUAAAUGGUUGAAAUUUUUAAAAUUUAGAGAGUAAUUCAUAAUUAAUUAUAAAACUCAUAAAUUUACUAAAAAAAUUGUUUGUAGAUAAUUGGUGAUUUGUAUUUGGACAAUAAAUCACCAUAUUCCCUAUAGAUUCACAUGGAAUGCUAAAUUUUUCCGGAAAAAAAAUUAUUAAAAUAAUUAUUUAUCAUGAUUUUAAAAUAUAAACUACACAAAUUUAACUAUUUUCUAUUUUACAUAAUUUUUUAUCAUAAUUUUUUUAAAGAUAAAUAUUUAUUGAAUAAGAUUGGUUUAAAUCCAUUAUAUAAAGUUCUUGAACAACUAAAUUUAGCGUUCUAAAACCUAUAGAAAAGAUAGAGAUACAGCAAAUCUUAUAACCCAAAAUUAUUAUUCAAAAAUUCUACUGCAUUUUUAUCGGAGCAAACAAACACAGUUGCUGAUAAAAUUAAAAUGGAAAACUCUCCACAUUGCAGGGGUGAGCAUUCGGUCGGUUCGGUUUAAAAUCGGACCGAACCGAAUAAAUUGAAAACCGAAAUUUUAAUUUUUAUAAAAAUCGAACCGAAUCGAUUUUGGUCAGAAACUGAAUCGAACCGAACCGGUCUGAUUCGGUUCUAUUCAGUUCGAUUUGAUCAGUUUCGAUUUUUAAUAAUUUUUUUUAUUUUUUACACUUUAUUUUUAAUAUUUUAAAAUUUAAUUAAAAUAUUUUAAUUUUAGUAUGAUUUAAUUUCUCUAUAUUAUUGAAAAAACAUAUUAUUAUCACUAAUCGGUUCGGUUUGGUUUUUUCAGUUUUUUCUUAUCAAAACCGAACCGAAAUAACCAAAAUUUCUAAAAUUAAAAAUCAAACCGAACUGAAAUGUAUAAAAAACCGAACCAAAUUUUCAAAUCGAUUUGAUUCGGUCAAUUUUUUCGAUUUGAACCGAAUACUGCUCACCCCUACUCUCCAUCUACAAAUGCUGAGUAAGGCCGGAAUGCCUCCUAAAGCACAUGAAAGACCAACCGAUAUUUGAGGGAGAAAAAGCCCUUAAUCACACCAGCACAUGAAAGGUCGAUAUUUGAGAGAAAAAAAGUCCUUAAUCACAACUGAUAUUCGAAAUAGAAAAAGUUCUUAAUCACACCACCUUACUCCCUUAUGAGUUAAGGAAAAGGAGCCUUGAAAAAGAAAUAUAGAAGACAAGUAAGAAACUACAACUCAUUCGAGUUAACAUUACAAUCUUCAAAUCUUAAAAUUGCGAGCCACCAUUCUUCUUAAGCUUGUAAAAAUUUAUAUGAUAAAAGACUGAUUAGAGUUUGUUAGAAGUUUAACCAAUAUCAUUUGCUUAAAAUGAUAUAAAAAAAAGAUAAAUUAAAAAUAAAAAAUUAUUAUUGAAAUUUUUUAAAAAUUAAAAAAAGUAAAUCCCAAAUAGUAAAUAAAUGCUAUUUAUAAUAAAAAAAAUUUAAUAUAUAAAAUUAUAAAAAUAUCUAAAAAAAUAAUUAAAAUAUAAAAUUAAUUUUUUAAACGAUAAAAUUUUUAUUAUCGUUAAUCUCUAUCGAACAUCGAUAGUAAAAAUUAAAUUCAAUUUAAAUCUUUUAUAAAAUUGAAGAUUAAUUAUUUCGUAUUAUUAUAUAUAUUAGGGUAUUCCCUCAAGGAGCAAAGGUAAUACCAUUAAUACCAAAAAAACAACUAAAAACUUAAAAUCGAUAGCCAAACAAGCUUUGGAUUUGAACUGCUGCGAUCCCGGCUGUGGAGAAAGAGUUAAAAAAGAUGAAUAUAAUCUAUAUGUUGAACUAUGAUUAUGAUAUACAUAAAAAACAAAAUUAGUACAGUGAUGUUUUUCCAAAAUAAAAAAUUUAAGUGGUCAUAGUAGGUCCACGAGCCUCUCCCUUGGUAAACAAAAUCAGGCAACCCCACCACCCUCUCAAAUCACAAACUUUUUUCAACAGCAUCCAAUUUUAUAUUUUCCUUUUUUUUUUUCUUGCCUUUGCUUUUUUCUCACUAUGAUAAAAGCCUCAGAAUAAAUCAAUGACUUAGCAACAUCUGUUACAAGUUAGAAGACACAUUGUUUCCUUUUUAGGCUAUUCUUUGAUGGAGAACAACUCUAUCAGUUCUUCAAGAACUGAUAAGAAAACAAUAGAAAGAAAUAGAAGAAAUCAAAUGAAAGCUCUCUGCUCCAAGCUCAAUUCUCUCCUGCCCCAUCAAAGCUCCAGGGUUCCCAUCUUUCUUUCUCUCAGUUUCUUUUCUUUUUCUUUCUUUUUUUUCUUGAUUUAGCAUUCAUGGUGUUGCAGAAGCCGAUGUCGCUGUCUGAUCAGCUAGAUCAGGCUGCAAAGUAUAUAAAAAAGCUGCAGAUAAAUCUGGAGAAAAUGAGGGAAAGGAAAGAAAGCUUAAUGGGAAGAGAAGAACGGCCGCCGAACUCAUCAAGCGGGAGUAAUGGAGCAACAAUGCGCUUAAGAUAUCCACAAAUUAAGGUUCAUGAAAUUGGUUCAGCUUUAGAGGUUGUUUUGAUAACUGGGUUGGAAACCCAGUUCAUGUUCAAUGAGAUUAUUCGAAUUCUUCAUGAAGAAGGAGCUGAGAUUGUUAAUGCUAGCUUUUCUGUUCUAGAUGAUGUCGUUUUCCACACAAUACACUCCAAGGUAGAGGAUGAUGUUCUUCUUCUUCUUUUUCUUCUUCUUCAUCAACUGUACUUGAAAUGCUUCGAUCAAGAAAUUUAUUCCCCUUGAAUUCUUGCAGGUUGGAGAUUCUUCCCAUAGUUAUGGAGCUGCAAGGAUUUCUGAGAGGUUAAAGAAGUUUGUCCCAGAUGCUAAUCCAUUUUGAAGUUUGCAGACUUAGCUGUGAAAGUACCAUGAGAAUUAACUAGUACGAUUUCAUUUACAUGUUCUAACUCUCUCCUUAGGAGAAAGUUCUAUAAAAGUAAACUUCUUGUCCCCAACCAUAGUGUUCAAGAACCAGGAAGCUAUUGAUGUGUAUAUUAUUAUUUUAUUUUAGUUUGCAUCCCAUUUUUAAAUUGGAUGAUAUAUAAUUUAGGUUUCGAUUAUUUGUAAAAAAUAAUUAUAAAAUAAAUCAUGGCAAAUGAGAGAAUUAAAAAAUUUUCAUUAAAAAUAUUAUAUAGUUAUUUCAAAUAUGAGCUAAAGACAUUUUUAAUGAAUGCUCUUUCUACUUAUAAAUAUAGAAAUAAUUAUUUUCAAUUUAUUUAAAAUUUAAAGUUGAUAUUUUAUAAUUUUAAGGAUAAUUAUUAAGAUUAUAUUUACAAUAAUUUAUAUUUAUAUUUAAAACUUUAAUGGUUAGAUAAUAAAAUUAAUUUUUUUCAAUUUAUCACAAUUCGAAGUAUUAAAUUAAAUUUUUAAAAAAUUAAUUAUAAAUUAUAAUGUACUCUCUAAAUUUUUUUAUUCGACCAAUAAAAUAAUACGAAAGAAUAUAUUUUUAUUUUAAUAAUAUUUUUUCAAUAGUAUAUUUAUAUAUAUAUAUUUAAAAUGUUAAAAAAAUUUAUAGACUAAAAUAUAUAAUAUAUUACUUUAAAAUAAAAUAUUAUUAAUAUAAAAUAUUCUUUUAUGUGUGAAAAGUAUGCAUAUAAUUUAUAAUGUUGAAUAUAAAAUAUUUUAAUAUAUGAUAUUUAUAUGUGAUAUUUUAUUUAUGAGGAAUUUAUUUAUAAUAAAUAUUUAAUUAUUGGUUAAAUAAAUACUUGCAUCUCUAUACUAAUUGAAAUUAAUUUAUUGAACAUAUAAACUAAAAUCUUAAUCACAUUAACUGUAAUUUAUAAAAAAAAAAAAAUCAAUCAUAAAUAUUGCUUACUACACUUAAAAUUUUACUAAUUAUACUUUAAAAUUUUUAUAAAUUAAUAAAAUUAAAUAAGAGUAAUUUUAUUAUUUUAUGAAUAUAUAAAGCUAAUCAUUCAGUAAAAUUUCGAGUAUAAUAUGUUUUGACUUUUUCUUUAUAAAUAUUUUUAAUUUAUAUUUAAUUGUUAAAAUUUUAUAAGUUUAAGUAUUUGAUAGAUUAAAAUUCAAGUAUAUAAUGGAUAAUAUAAAAUAAUACGGGUGUAACUAUAUAUUUGGCUAAUAUUUAUUAUAUAUAAUAUAUUUAUUAUUAAAAAAUGAAAAAUAUAUUUACUUCUAAAAUAAAAUUUAAAUUAAAAAACUAUGUAUUUUAUCUAUAUAAAUUUUAGAUAUUGUAUUGUAGUUUUGCCGUUGGUAUUUCUUUAUUCAAUUUAAUACUUUUAGUUGUAAUCGUGUCAAAUUAAAAAAUUUUAAUUUUAUUAUUUAAAAUUUAAAAUAUAAAUUAACGUAAAUAUUUAAAAUUUUUAAUCGAUUAGCCAAAUAAUUAAAGCGUAAAUGUGUUUUUUAUAUUUGAAACGAAGGUUAGUUGUUUAUAAAAAAAAAUAAAGAAAAAAUAUAAAAAAACAUAUUACGUGAUUUUAUUAAUUUUUUAUUUUAAAAUUUGUGAUUUAAUUUAUAUUAAAAUAAUAUUUAUAGUAUCGCAUUGCUAGUAAAUAGUAAUAAUAUUUACUGUAAGAAAUAUUGAUAUGAAAAUUAUAUUAAUAAUAUACUAAUUAAUGUAACACAAAUUAAAUAAAAAAUUUUAAAAUAAAAAAUUUUAAAAUAAAAAUAAGUAAAAUUAUAUUAUAUUUUAUUUAAUGCAUUAAUAUUUUUUAACAACAUUAAAAAAUUACUGUUAUUUGUUAUUUAUUAAUAUCGCAAUACUAUAUAUACUCCUUUGAUAUCAAUUAAAUAAUAUAUUAAAAUGUAUGAAUAAAAAUACAGAAUAUUUUAUAUAUUUUUUCUAAAAAUUAUUGAUUAAUUUUUAAUUUGGUGCAAUGACAACAAGAUUUUGAAAUAAUCAGCACUAAUGUGACACUUAGUAUUAAAGAAAAAAAAACUCAUGAAUUAGGAAACUCAUAUUUCUUAAUUAAUAUAUUUCAAUAACUAGUCAUUCAACACUUAACUUUUAUUAUUUUUAAAAAUAAAAAAUAUAUUUAAAUGGCUUAAUUUGAUUGUACUCCCCAAAUUAAUCCGAUAAUAAACACGUCUGAAUAUUUUAAAAAAAUCUUAUUUUUUUUUUUCACUGAUUAAAAAAAAGUUUAAUUUAAUUAAAGAAUAAGUCAAUAUAUGUGAGAUUAAAAUAAUAAAUAAUUAGCUACAAAAGAUAGUACAGUUUGUAAUUUUUCUUUACUUUAGCAACCAUAAUAUUUAGUGAAAGCCAAAUCUUUAGGGUUCAGAAGGGUCCUCUGUGACAAACGUUCCUUAGGUCAAAUCAUUGGUAUGGUAAUUGAGUGACGUCAUGGAGAUGACGACUGAUAUAGUAUCUUAUAAUUGAGAUGUAAAGCAGCACUUGAAAAAAAAAAAAAAAACUUUUUUUUUCCUUUUUUCAAUCGAUCUUAAAUAGAGAAAUCUUUACUUUUUAUGAUUUUAUUUUAACAUUUUAAUAGUAAUAAAUUAAUAUAAAAUUAAAAUAUUUACAAAAAUUUUAUUUUAAUUUAAAGAAUUAUAUAAUUGUUAUCUUGGCAAAAUAUGUGACAAACUAAUAAAAUUUUUAAAAUAAUAAAAAUUAAAUAAUAAAAUAAUUAACGGUUAAAAUUAAUUAAUAAAUUUUUUAAAAUAUAAGAUAUUAAUAGUAAUUUUUUAAAAAAUAAUAUAAAUUAAUUUUUUAAAAUAUAAAAAUCAAAUCAUUAAUAAGAUUGAGAGGGAGAGAGAUUUAGUCCUCAAUCUCCCAUAUGAUCCUAUUUAGGGCUGUAAAUGAGCCAAGCUAUUCAUGAGCUACUCGAGACUCGACUCGAUAAAAACUCGACCGAGUUCGGCUCGUUUUUUAAACGAGCUAAACUCGAGCUCAAUUUUGAGGCUCGUCACUUAAACGAGCUGAGCUUGAGCUCCAUAGUAUUCGGCUCGUUAAGGCUCGCGAGCUGGCUCGUUUUUAGGCUCGCGAGCAGGCUCGUUGAGAAGGCUCGCGAGCAGGCUCGUUGAGAAGGCUCGCGAGCAGGCUCGUUGAGAAGGCUCACGAGCAGGCUCGUUAAAUAGGCUCGUGAGUAAUAUUGUUUAAAUAAAUUGGUGAACCAAUUCGUUAAAUAAAUUUAUGAACAAGUUUAUAUAUUAUUAAAAAAGUAAAAAUAACUAUAAAGUUAUAAAAUUUAAAUUAUUAUAAAUACUUGAAAAUUAUAGUAUUGAAAAUUACAAAUAAUUAAGAUUAAUUAUUAUAAUUAAUAUUCUUUAAAAUUAAAUUAUAAAAAUCUUUUGUAUAUAAUUAUUAUAAUAAGAUUCCAUAAAAUUAAUGUAUAAUCACAAAUAAUUAAUAUUAAUUAUUAUAAUAAGUAUUCUUUAAAAUUAUAGUACUACAUGAUAAAUUGAGUUGUAAAAAUUAUAUACAUUUUAAAAUUAAAGUAUAAUUAUAAAAAAAAUUUUGUAUAUAAUUAAGCAUACAAUAUAAAAGAUGAUAAUAAUUAUCAAAGUAUAUUAAUAAUAAUUAAUUAAGGUUAUAUGGAUGUUGAAGUUGAAAUUCAAGUUAACUAAUUGAACAAGUAUGAAGAUGAUUAUGAAGAUAAUUAAAUUAUAUUAGCUUGUUUCAACUGUUGAAAGUUGGAAUCAACUUUAUUCGUUUGAUAUUAAACUUUGUGUGUAAUCUAAUUUUAUUAUGUUGUUGAAUUUAUAUUUAUUUGUGUUAUUUUAGUUAUAAAUUGUGUUACGUAAUUUUUUUUAUGUACACUCUCUUUUUUUUUAUAUUAUUUAAAUUAAUAAUGAUUAAAAACUGAUUAAAGUGUAAUUAUUAAUUCGAGUUCAAGCCUGAACUUGAGCUCAAACCAAACUUUUUAAUUUUGAGCUCGGUCUCCAGCUUUUUUAACGAGUUUCUUAAUCGAGUUUUUCGAGUUCGAGCUCGAGUUUUAUUAACGAGCUUCUUAAUCGAGCUUUUCGAGCUCGAACUCGAAUUAGACUCGUUAUUAAAUCGAACGAGCCUUUCACGAGUUGAGCUCGAAUCGAGCUCGAUUAUAAUAUUUAAUUCUCGAGCCGAGCUUGAAUCAAAUAUUAGAGCUCGAGCUCGAGUUUCCAAACUUUUUUAAUAAACGAGUUUGAGCUUUACAAAACUCGGCUCGGUUCGGCUCGAUUACACCCCUAAUCCUAUUGCUUUUCAUAAAACAGAAGUUGUCCCAUUGAAGGGAAUUGUCUUUUAAUACAAGAGAAAUUAAAUUAUUUUUGAAAAUAAUUGUUGAAAGAUAAAAUAUUUUUUAAAAUUAAGAAUCAUAUUAACACAACGGAAUAUAAAAUCAAUAGAAUCUCUCUACAAACAUAAAAUCUACUGGCUAGUAGCUCAGGAUUUCAUGAAUUAUGAGUAAUUAACCUUAUUUUCUUAUAUUGUAAAAGCAAUCAAAUCAAUAUAUAAAAUAUAUACUUCUAAACACUCAAUAACUUUCAAUUAUAUUUUAAAAAAUUCGUGCAAAUCAUAUUAAUAACUUAAAUAUCAGUAUGAUUGCCAUAAAAUAUCAAUCACCUCAUUUUUAUUUUUUUUCUGAUAACUAUUUUAGUUAAAUAGUCGAAAAACAGGACAUAUUGAUACUAUUACAAUAAUAAUUUAUUGGUAGUUUAAAAUUAUUGAAAGGAAGUUUUAAUUUUUUGUUAUUUUAUAUAAUAAUAUAUUUUAAUAAAUAAAUUAUUUUAAAUUGAAUUAAUAAAUUAUUUUAGAUUGAAUAAAAUUAUAAUUUAAAAAAAAUUAUCUAUUGCAAAAAAAUAAUAAAUAUCAUAUUAUAACAACGAAAAUAAAUAUAAUAAUAUUUGAACCAUUGUCAUUGAUCUACUAUUGCAGUUGAAGUAUAUGGAAUGUGAUAACACAUAAAUAUUUUUCAGGAAAAACAUGAGUAGCAUCCUAGCUAUAUAUUCAAACAACAAUUUCUAAGACCAGAAAUGGGCAUUGAUAAGCACAAUAAACAUAAAAUUUACCAAAAGUAAACAGAAGUUAGCACCUCCAUGAAGCUUUUUGUAAAUAGCCAAGAACAUCCCAUGGUGCCCUCCUUCAACCUGAGGCUCCCUUAGCUAUAGUCUCCUUUCCAAAGUGCUAAAGAAAAUUAUUGCAAAAUUAGUGAAAUUUUCAUCACCCUCUCCCCCUUCCUUUUGUAAAAAGGACAACCUUGUAAAUAAGACCCAACACUGCUGAGCUUGGUAAUGGGUUGAACCCAUGUCCAAACACUUUCCUCAAAGUGAUCGAGACCCUUCAACACCUGAGCAUUUCACCUUCAAAUCCCAUAUAAUGUUCAACAAGUUAGGUUGGAAUUUUCACUAAAUUAUUUAUUUUUCUAUGUUUAUGUUUAUACGAGGAUUAACUCUGUUCGCAUGUCGAAUUUAUUUAAAACUUCCGAACAUAUUCCACAUGAUAUAGUAUAUAUAUACAAAAUUUCAGUUUCAAACCCAUAACACCUCAUUCAUUUCUGGAGAAUUCCUAGCAACUGUAUGUAUAGAUGUACAUUUCAAUAAGAAACAUAUGGUAUUCUCUAUUUAUUAUUCUUCCUUCUUUACAUGGUAUUAGAGCAAAGCCUGUACUGAUACUGUUUGUUUCUCUCUCUCUUCUUCUUCUUCUGUCUUCUUCUAAAAUGGCUGAAGAUAGUUCAUCAAAACUGAAGGAACAAGAGGUACCAGCACAAGAGACUUCCACCAAGAACACUGAGAGCAAGCUUGCCUUACACAACUCUGAUCAUCCGGGGAUGCAGUUGGUGAGUACUCCAUUGAUUGACAGUAAUUACCUAACAUGGAGCAGAUCGAUGGUUAUUGCUCUAAAAGCAAAAGAUAAGCUGGCCUUCAUCAAUGGUAAAUGUGAAAUGCCGGAUUCAAGAUCAGAGGACUAUGACAAAUGGCAAAGAGUGGACAAUAUGGUAACAUCUUGGCUAUUAAACUCUAUUUCUAAAGAUAUUGUUGAUGCUUUCCUAUAUGUAUGUUCCGCAAGAGAAUUAUGGGAAGAGAUUAAGGGUAGAUUUGGGGAAAGCAAUGGCCCAUUGCUUUAUCAGCUAAAAAGAGAAAUUAGCUCUUUCACCCAAGCUGAUAUGACUGUGAUUGUCUAUUUUACUAAGUUAAAAAAACUAUGGGAUGAGUUAACUUGCUUAAAAUCAUUGCCUGUUUGCACUUGUGGAAAGUUAUUAGUGAUAUGGAUAACGGAGAUAGAUUAAUCCAGUUCUUAUUGGGGCUGAAUGACUCUUUUGAUCAUGUUAGAAACCAGAUUUUGAUAAUGGAACCUUUACCAAGUUUGAAUAGAGCCUACUCAAUAGUUCUUAGUGUUGAGAAGCAGAAAGAGGUUCUUAAUGUCUGCUCUGCUGAGUUUAAUACUGCAGCUAUGAAAGUAAACGUUACUAAGGAGAUAAUUUUAAAACCAAGCAGGAUCCGAAAAUAUUUUUGGAUUGACUGCUAGUUCGACACCCAUUGUGUCGAACUUCCACAAGCUGAUCCGUGCUACGGGAGCAGUGUCAUCCGCUCCCGUGACUGCCAGGGUGACUUGUUUGGCACCUUAAGUGCCGAACACGCACAAAGUUCAAGACUUCGUCAGGAAUCUCUGACGAAAUCUUGACUAAGUACUGAACUCUUUUCUUUCUUUAUUUCGCAUGCAUGCAUAGCCACGCGGACCUGCAUGCACAGAUCUGGAGAGACUUUGGCUUUUAAAGUUAAGUCUCCCGCCAUCUCCUUCUUUUUCCCAAUUUUCAUUCUUUCUCUCCAGCUCUUCUUCUCCUUCUCCAGCUAUUCAUUCUUCCUCUUCGGUUCUUCUUCUCCUUCUUCAGCUCUUCACUUCUCCCUCUCCAGCUCUUUACUUCACUCUCUCCACACUUUGUCAUAGGCCAUCACCUGUGCACCUUCACUUUCAACACGCUGAAAUACUCUUCUUCAUCAGGCAUUUCUAAAUAUUUUUUUUUAUUAUGAAAUAUAUAUAUAAUUUUUUUACGUUAUAUAUAAAAAUGAAAUAAUAAAUUAAAAUAUUAAAUCUUAAUUAAAAAAAUAUAAGAUAUUUCGGAUUAAAUGAUAUUAUUAAUAUAAUUUUUUAUGUAAUUUUUAUAAAUUUAGAAAUAUUAUUAAAUGAAGUUUAAAAUUUAUAAAGUAAUGUCUGAAGAAACAUUUUAAAUCAUAUUUGAAAAAUAUUUUUUUUAAAAGAAUAGAAUAUUUUAAAUUCAAAUAUUAUAAUAAUAUAUAAAUUGAUUAGUAUAAAUUAUAUCAUAUAUUUAAGUUUUUGUAAUUAUUUUUUGUAUUCUAAUAAAAUUAAUACGAUUAAUAAAAUAUUUAAUUUUUGUAUUAUAAUAAAAUUAAUAAAAUUAAAAUAAAAUAUUUAAAAUUAAUUUUUGUAUUAUAAUAAAAUUAAUACGAUUAAUAAAAUAUUUAAUUUUUGUAUUAUAAUAAAAUUAAUAAAAUUAAAAUAAAAUAUUUAAAAUUAAUUUUUGUAUUAUACUAAAAUUAAUUUUUUGAAAAUAAUAAAAUUAUUUUUUUGAAAUUAUUUUUUGUAUUAUAAUAAAAUUAAUACGAUUAAUAAAAUAUUUAAUUUUUGUAUUAUAAUAAAAUUAAUAAAAUAUUUAAAAUUAAUUUUUGUAUUAUUCUGAAAUUAAUUUUUUGAAAAUAAUAAAAUUAUUUUUUUGAAAUUAUUUUUUGUAUUACAAUAAAAUUAAUAAAAUCUUUAAAAUUAAUUUUUGUAUUAUACUGAAAUUAAUUUUUUGAAAAUGAUACAAUUAAUUUUUUGAAAUUAUUUUUUGUAUUACAAUAAAAUUAAUAAAAUUAUAAUAAAAUAUUUAAAAUUAAUUUUUUUAUUAUACUAAAAUUAAAUUUUUGAAAAUAAUAAAAUUAAUUUUUUGAGAUUAUUUUUUGUAUUAUAAUAAAAUUAAUACGAUUAAUAAAAUAUUUAAUUUUUGUAUUAUAAUAAAAUUAAUAAAAUUAUAAUAAAAUAUUUAAAAUUAAUUUUUGUAUUAUACUAAUAUUAAUAUUUUGAAAAUAAUAAAAUUAUUUUUUUAAAUUAUUUUUUUGUAUUACAAUAAAAUUACUAAAAUUAAUAAAAUAUUUAAUGUUUGUAUUAUAAUAAAAUAAAUAAAAUUAUAAUAAAAUAUUUAAAAUUAUUUUUUGUAUUAUUGGAUAGAAUAGUUGUUGUGAUAGAAUAUUUGUUGUGAUUUUUAAUAGAAUAUUUGGUUGAAUUAUUGGAUAGAAUAUUUUUAAAUUAGUAGUAUUUAUUGUGAUUUAUGGAUAUAAUCUUUUUGUAAUAUGUAUGUUAUUGUAGUGUUAAAUUAUGUACCGUUAUUUAGUAAAUAAAUGAUGUUUGAAUAUUGUUAGUGAUUAUGAAUAUAAUAAAGUUUGUGAAGGUGUAUUUAUAUAACAAAUGCUAUUGUAUAUUAUUUUGUAUAAUUAGAUAUGGAGGGAAGACGCAACCGUCGUGAUCGCCCUAAUUAUAUUUUACCGAGUCCCAAUGAUCCAUCGUUGCUGUAUGGACAAGCCGAACAUCGGUCUGAGGCUAUAUGGCAACAAACUAUAGAAAGUGGGGCGAUAAGUUGCAGAAGAACAUGUACAAUUUUACAUUUGGACGAUAUUCCAGAUCAGUUAAUACCUCACCUGCGUCGUACAGGUUUCUAUGGUGUAAUACGGCUUGUUUUUUUUGCUCUGGAUUGGCAUUUAAUUACGGCUCUUGUUGAGCGGUGGCGACUAGAGACACAUACAUUUAUGUUUUCCGAAGGGAAAAUUACCAUAACCCUUCAGGAUGUAAGGCAAAUAACCGAAUUAUUUGUCAAUGGUGCAACUGUUACUGGCCGAUCACGCCACCAUUGGCCAUCAGUUUGUGAGGCAUUGUUAGGUGUCGUUCCACCAAUCUUUCUGCAUUGCCUUAAGAAUUCCAGCAUGACGAUUUGAAAUUACACACAAAUCUUCUCGAUUAGUCACAAAGAUCCUCAAGCAAUCCAUAAACCAUAACCAAUUGUCACCGUCCUCUUUAUCAACAAUGGCAAAAGCUAAUGGAAAUAGUUGAUUAUUUCCAUCGAGGGCGGUUGCACACAGUAUACACCCGGUGUAUUUUUCAUAUAGGAAUGUCCCAUCGAUUGAAAUUACAGGUCGGCAAUGUUUAAAUCCCUCAAUCGAUUGCUUAAAAGCCCAAAACAUACGGUCAAAUACACGACAUAUCGGAUUUAAUCGCUCAUUUAUCAAAUGUGGAUUAUCUUCAAUCAUGUAUACUGUUUCUGGGUUAAAAUGAUGAAAAGCGGUCAUGAAUCUACGCAAACGAUUGUAUAAUUCAUCCCAACCCCCAUAAAGUCUUGCAAUUGCCUUUUGCUUUGCUUUCCAUGUUUUUUUAUAAGACGACUCGUACCCAAAUUUAUCGCUCAUUUCAGCUUGUAGGGCAGUAAUUUUUAUAUCGGGCUGCUGUUCAAUUAAUGCAAAUAUGAAUGAAUAAAUGAAAUUUUCAUCCAAUUGGCUAUGAUUUUUUGUCAACUGAGGAUUUGUGCAUGUGUGCGGCCCACUGUAUCUCGUAAUUUUCCAUAUAUCCUCCCCUUCUUUCUUGGAUGCUCGAAGCCUCCAUGCACACCCACUGUCUUUGUCUUUACACUUUAUUGAAUAAGUCUUCUCUCUUGUUUCAUGAUAAUAAAAUUGGUGAUGAUGUCUUAGGUGAUAUUCUUUUGCAGCCGCAGCCACUGCAUCUCUCGAACAAAAUAUCAUCCCAAUUGAAAACUCUUUAGAAGGAUCCCAAAAGGAACGACCUUCUAGCCUAUCAUACGGAUCCACCCUAAGCAAAUUGAAAUCUAUUUCUGCAUAUGGGGGAGGAUGAACAACAUGCACAAUAGUAUUAUGAAAUUGGGUGUUAUAAUAUCGAGACUCACUCCUACUAUCCUCCUGACCAUUAUCACCAUCAUCAUCAUCCUCAGUUGACAUCCAUGAAUCAUCGUCAUCGUCCUCGUCAUCCUCAUCCCCAUCCUCGUCCUCGUCCUCCACUCUAUCAGAUAAAUUAUUUGACGGCCCUCCAAGACUAUCAGAUAAAUCAUAAUCAUCCACUACAUUUUGCUCUUCACAUUGCUCAACAUUUGAUUCCACAGCAAUUCCAAAUGGACCUACAUCAGCAUGCUCAUUCGUCGCAUUAACACAACGAAGUAUCUUAACAUAUAUCUCUAUACCAGGUAGACCACCAAUUUGAUAUAAGUAAUUAAACAUGCUAGAUACAUCAUUUUCAUCCCAUAUCUCCAUGCAUUCAAAUUUUAAGGAUCCAUCCAUAAUUGUAGGCUUUCUAAAACUAAUUAUCUCUAUAUAUUCAUUAUUCUCGGAUAAUCUAAUAGCACAAGUAAUUUUUCCGACCAAUUGAUUAAAACUUAUCCGUUUACCCAUGGGAACAAUCUUUGAAAAACCUCCAUCGUAAUCGUAUCCAUGAGAACAAUUUAUAAUAUUUCUAUUCCCAUAAAUAUUAGCAUAUGUGGAACUGCCAUUUUUUUUAUAAAAAUUUUUAAAAUAAUAUGUAAAUUUAAUAUUUCCAUAAUUGCUAAAAAAUAUUUUUUUCAUUUUUUAAAAUUAUAAUAAAUCAAAAUUACACACAAUAAAUAUGAUAUACUUAUUUAAAAAAAUUGAGAAUUUUUAUGUAUGUACCUUUCAAAUAUGAAUCACUCAAUCACGUUUGGAUCGAUAUGACUAAUGAAGUUAAAUGUUUUAAUUCCUGCAAAAAAAAUUAUAUUAAUAAUUUAUUUUUCAUUAUAAAAUUUACAAUAAAAAUAAAAAAAAUUAAAUUUACAAUAAAAAAUAUCUAAAACAUACCGUUGAAUGUUUUUGAAAGUCGAGUUGAAACAAAUAGAUAUGAUAAUUUUAUAAAAUUUAUAAAAAAAAAAAAGACUGAAUUGUAUCGAAAAUUAAAUAAAAAUUAUGCAAAUUUAUAAAAGUGAGAGGCAAUAAUAGACGAGAGAGAUAAUAAGCUUGAUAAUAGGGAUAAGAAGGUAGCAAUUGAGGUGUAUUUAUAGGCGGGUUGGAGUAUUAGUUCGGCAGUUUUACUGCCGAAUUAUUUUAAAUGCAGGCUGUNNNNNNNNNNNNNNNNNNNNNNNNNNNNNGGGUGGGUGGGGGAAGCAAAUGUGGAGGACAUGUUCCGCACUCAAAGUGCAAAACAUGUCCACGUGAUAUUUUCAGCGGGUGCAUAGAUUUCUGCACCCUGUGACAUUUGCAUGCAUGUCACAAGGGGUGCAUAAAUCUCUGCACCCCUUAUUUGCGUGCAUGUCACAAGGGGUGCAGAGACGUCACAGUGGGUGCCGAACACGCCACAUCAGCCACGGGAGCAAUUUCAAAUUGCUCCCGUGGCAGGAAACAGCUUGUUUGACACCAAUGGUGUCGAACAAGCUGGUCCGCGUGGCAGUUCGACACCCAGGGUGUCGAAUUGCCUUUUGUUCGACACCCAGGGUGUCGAACAAGCGUGUUCAGCAGUGAAACUCAAAAUGAGACACCGCUAGAUCUCAACAGUGAAGCUAAAAAACAUGAAGGAUAGUACCAGGAACUCUCAACCAUGAUCCAAGAUGAAAUUAUGAAAUACAUGAACGGAAAGAAUGUUUAUGAAUCAGCUGGUUGUGUCACUGGUCUUACAUGUAAUAUUUUAAAUUGAUACUCUCCUAAUUUUGUUAAGGGAAAGAGAAUAUCGAUUAUGGAUAUUGGUGCCACAUCAUACAUGUGUCAUGAGUUUUCUUUGCUAAUUAACCCUAUUAAAGCUAAACCUAAACUCCUUGUUACUUUACCUGAUGGCUCUACUCAGCAAGACAUAUAUGAAUUAUGGCAUCUAAGACUUGAUCAUACAUCCAAGAAAAAAAUUAUCUCAUAUCAAUGAAUUGAAUUUGCCAUAUUCUGUAGAUCAUCAUGUUUGUGAGAUUUGUCCAAUUGCAAAAGAACAUUAAUUAUGCUUUCCUGAAGGAAAAAUCACAUCUGAAGAUAUUUUUGAAACUAUACAUAUAGAUUUAUGGAGUCCAUAUUCUGGAAAAUCUACAACUGGUGCAACCUAUGUCUUAACUAUUGUGGAUAACCACUCAAGAGCAACUUAGACCUUUUUGUUAAAAGAAAAAAAUAGUCAUUUAUAAUAUUUUGGAAGAUUUUUCAAAAAAAAUUCAAAAUCAAUACUACAAAAAUAUUAAAGUAAUAAGAUCUGAUAAUGGAUCAAAAUUUGUAAACAAAACAUAUAACAAUUGGUUUAAAUAUAAGGGUACAAACUUGGUAUUAUAUAAAAAAUUUUAUCCUUACUCUCCGCAACAAAAUGGAGUUGUGGAGAGGAAGCAUAAAUAUUUAUUAUAAAUGGAAAGAGCUUUAAUGUUUCAAUCUGGAUUUCCAAAAUUUUUCUAGAGUGAGUCAAUCCUCAUUGCUAUUUAUAUCAUAAAUAUCCUACCAAAAGUUCUGUUUUAGAAUGAAUGGAAAAGCCCUUUCAAAUUUUACAUAAGAAAAAACUAGAUUAUACAUACUUAAAUGUUUUUGGAUGUUUAUGAUUUGCAACAAACAACAACCGCAAAAAUACAAGUUUAAAAAAAGAGCAAUAAAAUGUAUUUUUUUGGAUAUAUACCUGGCAUUAAAGAGUGCAAACCGUCUGACUUGGAACAAAAAAAUCAUUUUUAUGUCAAGUGAUGUAGUGAUUUAUGAAAAACAUUUUCUAUACUUAGAAAAAAUUUCAAACAGGAUGAUCUACAAACCAUCAUACCAAAUCCAAUACCAAAUACAGAUUAUCCCACAAAAAUAUAAGAGCAAAAGAACCAUUUACCUAUGAUUGAACCCUAUAACCAUCCUACUGAGCAAUUCACUGAAAUUUCAGCCACUUUUGAUGAUCCUUCUUUUCAAGACUUUCCUACAAAAAAGAGUAUCAGAGUCAAAAUAAAACCAACAUGGCUGAAUGACUUUGUUGCACAUACAUCUACCAAAACGGUAAACAGUGAAUACAUGUCUUUUUUGGCAAAUAUAUCCAAAAUCACCCAACUCUUAUCAAAAAGCGAAAGAGGAUAGCAAUUGGGUAUUGGCUAUGCAAAAUGAGUUGGAUGUCUUAGAGAGUAACAAUAUCUGAAUUCUAACAGAGUUGCUUGCAGGAAUUCCCUAGACAGGUAUAAAGCCAGACUUGUGGCGUGGGAUUAUAAUCAGUUAUCAGGGAUAGAUUUUCAUGACAGUCUUUCACAUGUACCUAAAGUGGUUACUGUCAGGAUUUUUUUGGCAAUUUCACUUGCUCGAGAUUGGCCAGUGCACCAAUUGGAUAUAAACAAUGUGUAUUUACAUAGUUCCAUUGAAGAAGAUCUUUAUAUGCAACCUUCAUAAGGCUAAAAUAAGGUAGGUAUGCAAAUUAAUGAAAAGUCUUUAUGGCUUAAAGCAAGUUGGACGAUAGUGGAAUAAGAAAUUUUCUAUGAAACUAAAAUAAUUUGGUUUUAGACGAUCAGAGAUUGAUCACUGCCUUUUCCUCAAAAGGUCACAUUCCUAGCACUUCUAGUGUAUGUAGAUGAUGUUUUAAUUAUAGGAAAUUAUGAACAGGUCAUCAUUGACACAAAAAUAUUCUUGGACGAUAUUUUUACUAUUAAAGAUUUUGGGUAUGUGAAGUACUUUUAAGAAUUGAAAUCACAAUAUCGGAGAAGGGAAUGUCUCUGAAUUAGAGAAAGUAUGCCCACUACAUCAUUGCUGAUGUGGGGUUUGAACAUACAAGAGAUGCCCAAUUUCCACUAUCAAAAGGGUUAAAGUUAGAUAACUAAUUAAACUAAAGAAGAAUUACCUAAUCCCGAACAGUAUAGACGUCUCAUUGGCCAUUUGCUGUAUUUAACCCUCACUCACCCACGAGGAGAAAAAGUUCUCUUAUUCUAACUAGAAAAAUGAUAUUUAUUGUAAUAUUUAUUGAGAAAGAAGAUUUCACUGUUUGACUAAAAAUCCUUCCUACAUUAAAAUGCAUUCUUUUACUACUAGAAUUAGGAUUUUAGAAAAUUAUAAUAACCCCUUUAAGUGGCAACCACGAAAUUCAUGGAAUUUUAUUUUAUGAACAAAAUUAUUUUCCUUAUUUAAUAAAAUUAUAAAGAGAAUUUUAUUUAAUUUUGUAUGGUAUCAAUGAUUCACAUUUUAUUAAGGUUAGUAAUUUUAUGGCGAUUCCAUUCUUAUUUUUUUAUUCGAUUAUCUAUAUUAUUGUUUAUUCAUUACUUGACAUGUGAUUUGAUAUUAUUAUAUAUUAAAAUUUUAAAUUAUAUUAUUAAUUUAGAGUUUCGCAUCAACUCUAAUUAUUAAAAAAAAAAAUAAAAUUAUUAUUUUUGCUAUUCAAGACAACGAUUAGUUUAUAUUAGAAUUGUAGGUUUUUAAAAUUUUCAAGUUUUAAUAGGUAAUAUUUUAAGUUCAUAAUAGAAUUGCAAAGUUUAAGUAUUUUUUGUCAUUUUUUAAAAAUAAAUUUUAUGAAAUAUUUUUUCAUGACUAAAAUAGUUUUAAACUUUGAGACAAAGCUAACUUCGCAUUUUUGUCAAUAUUAUAAACUAUGUUUGAAAGUUUUGAAUUCAAUCUCUGCCAAGAACAAGACAGGUUCAAGUAAAAUUCGUCGGAGUUGGAUUGACUUAGAAAAACUACAUAUCUAAGUUAUUGAUUGUGAAAAGCUCAUACAAUUGAUAUAAAAUGAAAUUUUUUAAUACUAAAAAUAAUGAAACUUUAACUUAACUUAGUCUAAAAUUUAUUAAUUAUUAAUAUAAAAAAUUACAAAAAUUAAUUUUAAGGGGGAAUACCAAAAAGAUCCUAAACUUUUUUAAAAAUUUGUAGUUCUAUCAUGAAUAAAAAUAUUAUUAAUUAGACUAAAUUUCUUUGGGUUUUUCUGAAGUGGCCAGUUUCAAUUUCAAGAUGAAUAGGAAAUUUUUGAAAAGUGGAUCCCAUUUUGGGAGCAAAGAACCGAAAAAAAUGUACAAGCACGCCGUCUGUGCGAUGAGCAGUAAAAGACAAAAUGAUGGGUAUACACGGAUACAACGUUAAUAUUUAAUACUGAGAAAAUAAUAAUAAAUUUUUAAAAAAAAAAGUCUGUACAAAAUGCAAUCAAUCAAUCCACAACGUUAAAAAAUGGAGAAAUAAUUAGCGUAGAGUCUACAACUAGGAGUUACUGUUUUGUCUUUUGUCUAUGUGCCGUUCUUCUCUGCAGAGUGGGCUGUGCAAUCGGUCGGUUCGGUUCCGAACCGAACCGAACCGAAAAAACCGAAAACCGAAAUAUAAAAAUGUUAAAAACCGAAAAAAUCGAUUAUAAAAAUAUAAUCGAACCGAAUCAAACCGAUAAAAAUCAGUUCGGUUCGAUUCAAACCGAAAUCUGUAAUUUUUUUUAAUUUUCUGCUUUUAAUUUCAGUAGAAUAAUUUAAUAAAUAUUUCACAUAAAUUUAUCAAUAAAUAUUGUUUGAAUACAUAAUAAUAAUACUUAAAAAAUCCAUAAAAAUCCAUAUGAAAUUUAAAAAUAUAUAUAAAAUCAAUAUUUCUAUGUGUAAAAUCGAUUUUUCAGUUUUUCAGUUAUUUAACAUGUUUAAACCGAAUCGAACCAAAAAUUGAAUAAAUUGAAAAAUACUAACCGAACCGAACCGAACCUUUCGAUUAACCGAACCAUUAAACCGAAAUUGAUCGGUUUGAUUCGAUUUUUCGAUUCAGACCGAUUUAUGCUCUCCCCUGACUGCAGACUUGGCUCACUUUCAACUUUUAACCUUACCUUUGCCUCCUCGGUGAAUUACCCUAAGCUAAGAAUGAAAGUAGAUAUAAAUAGAGUUAAUAGCAAAAUAAAUUCUGUAAUUUUUUUUAUUAUUAUAAUUAUAUUUUAUUUGUUUUUUAAUUAAAUUUUAAUAUUUAAAAUUUAUUCUAAAUACAUUUAAUUAUGAUUUAUAUUAUUAAAAAUUAAUAAAAUUAUCAUAUUAUUCACUAUAUAAUAUUAUAUCACCAUUUUAUAUUAGUAAAUUUUAAAAUUAAUAAAUAAAAAAUUAAAUAUUUUAUUUUUAUUGCGAUUUCAUUUUUUUUUCUAUGGUUUAACUCUGAUUGUUUAAUGUUUGAUUAAAUAUAUUUUAAUUUAUAUAAUUGAAAACUUAUAAAAUUAUUAAGUUAUUUUUUUUACUAUUAAAUAUAUUUAAAAUUUAUUAUUUAUAUUAUUAUUUUUUUUAUAUUUUUAUCGAUAUUUCCACAAUAAUAAUUUGUUUUGUUGUUAUUUGACUAAAAAUUAUUAUCCACCGACUUUCUUCAAAUCUAUUCAAUAUACUUUUUAUUUGAUAUUACUUUCAAAAUUAUCGUUAAGAAAUAAUUUUAUUAAUUAUAUUAAUUAUAAAAUAUUAAAAAAUAAUUUAAAAUAAUAUUUAAUAUCAUUCAAUUUAAAAAUAUUAAAAAUAAUAAAAUAUUUCUUUUAUAUAAUUUAUUAAUCAAAAUAGGUAAAACAAAGAACAUAUUUUAAUUUCAAUAUAAAAAUUUUAUAAUUAAUAAAUACUAAAAAUAUAAUAGAGUCAAAAUAAAAAAUAAAAUCUCAAUAAUUAGCAGCGGAUUAUAAAAAAUUUUAAAAUUAUAUUUAGAAAAAAGAUUAAUUAUUAUUUAAAAAUUUAGAGAAUAAAGUUAUAAUUUGCUAAAAAAAAAUAAAAGAAAUAAGAAGAGUUGAAAAUGAAAACUGGAAGACAGGUCUUGGAAACUUCUCCAUUUGCAUUGCAACGUGUGAAGAAUUCCAAGGGUUUCUUUCUUCUCAAGUGGUAAGCAUGUGAACCUCUGUAUCACUUGUCUGUCUUCUACCACUCACUAACAUCAUUUUUUGACCAUAUACAACCCUAAAUUUUCAAAUAAUGCAACCCCACAUUCCAUCACUCAGUUGAAUUCUAUAUCUGGGAAAGCUCAUAUUCAUUAAGAUCUUUCUGAAAAUUUUAAAUGUAAAAAAAAAUAAAUUACACUUUAAUCCUUAAAUUUUAAUAUAAUUAAUAAAUUGAUCUCUUAUAUUUUUAACUAAAUACGUAAUUAUAAAAAUAAAAAAAUUAAUUUAUUAAUUAUAUUAAAAUUAAAAAUUAAAAUAUAAUUUAUCCAUUAUUAUUAAAAUAUUAAAAAAUUUAUUAACAUUAAACGUUAAGUUUUUUAUUAUUUAAUUUUAUAAAAAUUAAAUUAAUUAUUUUCUCUAAUUAAUAAUAAUUUAAAUUUUAAUAUUUAAUGAUUAAUAUUAAUAAAAAAAUUUGUUAAUAAAUUUUUUAAUAUAAUAAAAAUGUUUUAAUAUAUUUUUUAAACAAUAAUUCUCUCGUUUUAGUUUGAUACGAUGAGUGAAAUAAAAAUAUCAUUUCAAUACCAAAAAGAGACAAAUUUUUUUUUAAAAAAAAUUUUGAGAACAGUAAAAAAAAAAAAAAAAANNNNNNNNNNNNNNNNNNNNNNNNNNNNNNNNNNNNNNNNNNNNNNNNNNNNNNNNNNNNNNNNNNNNNNNNNNNNNNNNNNNNNNNNNNNNNNNNNNNNNNNNNNNNNNNNNNNNNNNNNNNNNNNNNNNNNNNNNNNNNNNNNNNNNNNNNNNNNNNNNNNNNNNNNNNNNNNNNNNNNNNNNNNNNNNNNNNNNNNNNNNNNNNNNNNNNNNNNNNNNNNNNNNNNNNNNNNNNNNNNNNNNNNNNNNNNNNNNNNNNNNNNNNNNNNNNNNNNNNNNNNNNNNNNNNNNNNNNNNNNNNNNNNNNNNNNNNNNNNNNNNNNNNNNNNNNNNNNNNNNNNNNNNNNNNNNNNNNNNNNNNNNNNNNNNNNNNNNNNNNNNNNNNNNNNNNNNNNNNNNNNNNNNNNNNNNNNNNNNNNNNNNNNNNNNNNNNNNNNNNNNNNNNNNNNNNNNNNNNNNNNNNNNNNNNNNNNNNNNNNNNNNNNNNNNNNNNNNNNNNNNNNNNNNNNNNNNNNNNNNNNNNNNNNNNNNNNNNNNNNNNNNNNNNNNNNNNNNNNNNNNNNNNNNNNNNNNNNNNNNNNNNNNNNNNNNNNNNNNNNNNNNNNNNNNNNNNNNNNNNNNNNNNNNNNNNNNNNNNNNNNNNNNNNNNNNNNNNNNNNNNNNNNNNNNNNNNNNNNNNNNNNNNNNNNNNNNNNNNNNNNNNNNNNNNNNNNNNNNNNNNNNNNNNNNNNNNNNNNNNNNNNNNNNNNNNNNNNNNNNNNNNNNNNNNNNNNNNNNNNNNNNNNNNNNNNNNNNNNNNNNNNNNNNNNNNNNNNNNNNNNNNNNNNNNNNNNNNNNNNNNNNNNNNNNNNNNNNNNNNNNNNNNNNNNNNNNNNNNNNNNNNNNNNNNNNNNNNNNNNNNNNNNNNNNNNNNNNNNNNNNNNNNNNNNNNNNNNNNNNNNNNNNNNNNNNNNNNNNNNNNNNNNNNNNNNNNNNNNNNNNNNNNNNNNNNNNNNNNNNNNNNNNNNNNNNNNNNNNNNNNNNNNNNNNNNNNNNNNNNNNNNNNNNNNNNNNNNNNNNNNNNNNNNNNNNNNNNNNNNNNNNNNNNNNNNNNNNNNNNNNNNNNNNNNNNNNNNNNNNNNNNNNNNNNNNNNNNNNNNNNNNNNNNNNNNNNNNNNNNNNNNNNNNNNNNNNNNNNNNNNNNNNNNNNNNNNNNNNNNNNNNNNNNNNNNNNNNNNNNNNNNNNNNNNNNNNNNNNNNNNNNNNNNNNNNNNNNNNNNNNNNNNNNNNNNNNNNNNNNNNNNNNNNNNNNNNNNNNNNNNNNNNNNNNNNNNNNNNNNNNNNNNNNNNNNNNNNNNNNNNNNNNNNNNNNNNNNNNNNNNNNNNNNNNNNNNNNNNNNNNNNNNNNNNNNNNNNNNNNNNNNNNNNNNNNNNNNNNNNNNNNNNNNNNNNNNNNNNNNNNNNNNNNNNNNNNNNNNNNNNNNNNNNNNNNNNNNNNNNNNNNNNNNNNNNNNNNNNNNNNNNNNNNNNNNNNNNNNNNNNNNNNNNNNNNNNNNNNNNNNNNNNNNNNNNNNNNNNNNNNNNNNNNNNNNNNNNNNNNNNNNNNNNNNNNNNNNNNNNNNNNNNNNNNNNNNNNNNNNNNNNNNNNNNNNNNNNNNNNNNNNNNNNNNNNNNNNNNNNNNNNNNNNNNNNNNNNNNNNNNNNNNNNNNNNNNNNNNNNNNNNNNNNNNNNNNNNNNNNNNNNNNNNNNNNNNNNNNNNNNNNNNNNNNNNNNNNNNNNNNNNNNNNNNNNNNNNNNAAGAAAACUAAAGAUGUUUAAUAAUUGACCAUUCUGAAAAAAAAAAAAAAACAAACUCAUAAUCGAUGCAGGUGCAACAGUAAAGUUACAGUGCAAUAAUACCAAGCACCCACAAGAAGCCAAGGCCACAACGGACAAGAACGGCUACUUCUUCCUCGAAGCACCCAAGAAAAUCACCAACUACGGGGCCCACAAAUGCAAAGUGUCAUUGGUCUCAGCACCAAACACCGCAUGCGGCAAAGCAACUGAUCUCAACGGUGGAGUGAGUGGCGGAGCGUUGAGGCCGGAGAAGAAAUACGUUUCACAUCAGCUUCCAUUUGUUCUGUAUACAGUUGGUCCUUUUGCAUUCGAGCCCAAGUGCCCCCGUUGAUUGAUGUCUAGCCUGCCACCAGUUUAUUAAUUAUUAGUGUUACUUUAAUUAUGUCUUCUUUUUUAUUUUUAGAUAUAUAAUAUAGUUUGAGGUUUUCAUGCUGUGUGUUUCUGAUCUGUAAUGGGAGGUUUGUUAAGUAUCAUUAAUCAGUGUGAUCUUUGUUUAUGUGAAAUAAAUGAUA
rnacentral:lncRNA from 1 species